AACGAUAAAUCUAUAACAAAUACAACUUUUUAAAGAUGAUAUAAAAAUUAAUAUAGGUCUAAUUAAAAGAUUUUAUUUACCACAUUCAUCUAUAAUAUAACAUAUAUUAAAACAAGGAUUAGAUACCCUUCUAUUUAUGAAUUAAAUUAAUAAAGUUGGAUAUUAAAAACAUAAGUUCUAAACCCAAAAAAUUUGGCGGUGCUUUAAUAAAUCAGGGGAACUUGCAUAUUAAAUCGAUAACCCACGAAAUCCUUUCCUUUAUUUGAAACUCAGUUAGUGUACUGCCGUAGUAUAUAAAUUUGUAAUUUUAUAUAAAUAAAAUAAAAUAUUUAUAACAACAGGUCAAAAUGCAGCUUAUAUAAUAGGCUUAUUGUGAGUUACAUUAUUAAAACUUUUAUGAAUUAAAUAAAAAAUUGAAUUUAUGAAAUUGGACUUGAUAGUAAUUAAAUAAAGUAAUGAAUUAACACUUAAAGCAAGUACAAAUCGCCCGUCACUCCCAAAUAAAG
rnacentral:rRNA from 1 species